UACGUAGGGUGCGAGCGUUAAUCGGAAUUACUGGGCGUAAAGCGUGCGCAGGCGGUUUUGUAAGCCAGAUGUGAAAUCCCCGGGCUCAACCUGGGAAUGGCAUUUGGGACUGCAAGGCUGGAGUGCGGCAGAGGGGGAUGGAAUUCCGCGUGUAGCAGUGAAAUGCGUAGAUAUCAGGAAGAACACCCGUGGCGAAGGCGGCUCUCUGGGACGGUACUGACGCUGAGACGCGAAAGCGUGGGGAGCGAACAGG
rnacentral:rRNA from 1 species